CAUAUAUUGUGGUCCUCUCUCUUUUUCUAAGUUAAACAACACUACUCUGUUUGCUGCAUCAGACCAGUGAAGUCAAACUACCCCGGACCCUAACCUAAACUGACGAACUAUACCGCAUUCCGUUUCCUUUUGCUCUCUUUUCGGUAUACCUUCAAAUAAGUGCACUUUUAUCUGUGCUAAUAAAAAAUACAUAUAUUUUUAAAAGUUGAAAAACUUUAGAUUCAACAUAAUGCUUUCCAUAGGAGAAAAGGGAAAGAAGAAGAAGAAGUCUGUUAAGCACCAUACCACACCACAAGGAUCGGAUUUAUAUAGGUCUUCUACCAGAAAUUACAACAUUUAAGCAUAUACAUAUACAUAUUAUGCCGACGUUUACUAUAGUUGAACUACUGUUUUUUCUACCGCCUCAGGUGAAACUUUCAAGAAAAAAAGCUCCACGAAAAUCUCAUGGGGGUGUAUUGAUGAAAGAGUAAAAUUAUAUGAUUCAAAAAUUGAAACGUUAUAUGUACAUAUAAUUUUAGUUAUAGAAAAUUUUAACAAAUCGUGAAAUACUGACAUAAUUAUAAGUGAUACUACUGUCAUUCGAAUACUGACACAAAAUUGAGGUUAGGUUUUAAAUUUACUACAUAUUUCAAUAGUAGAAUUACAAGAUUCUGUUACAAAAUUAUAUAAUUUUACUGCCCUCAGUUUGUCAAUAUUAAUAAUUUUGAGGUUAGAAAUAAAAGAUUGUAAAUUUACAAUACUGUGUAAAACGAUUUUAAAUAGCGCUGUAAAAUUCCAAUCCCAAUAUAAAUUUACCCUACUGUGUCAUGGGUUUUUUCCCCGCAUACAAUAUAUGUAUAAUUUUAUGGACGAG